GGUUUGAUAAAUGAAUUUUCUCCCAUCUAGUGGAGAGGCAUAGAAAGAAGAAAAUCAAUGCUGGGAUAAACAGAAUAGGAGAGCUGAUCCCAUGUUCUCCUGCCCUGAAGCAGAGCAAGAAUAUGAUCCUGGACCAAGCCUUUAAAUAUAUAACAGAAUUGAAAAGGCAAAAUGAUGAACUCCUGCUUAAUGGAGGAAACAAUGAACAAGCUGAAGAAAUAAAAAAGCUACGGAAACAACUGGAAGAAAUCCAAAAAGAAAAUGGCCGAUAUAUUGAAUUACUGAAAGCUAAUGACAUAUGCUUAUAUGAUGACCCCACAAUUCACUGGAAAGGAAAUCUUAAAAACUCAAAGGUCUCUGUUGUUAUUCCUAGUGACCAGGUUCAAAAAAAUAUUAUUGUUUAUUCCAACGGGAAUCAGCCUGGUGGAAACAGCCAGGGAACAGCUGUUCAGGGGAUAACUUUUAAUGUUAGUCAUAAUUUACAAAAGCAGACCGCCAAUGUGGUGCCAGUACAGAGGACUUGCAAUCUUGUGACUCCUGUAUCUAUUUCUGGAGUUUACCCUUCUGAAAACAAGCCAUGGCAUCAGACCACAGUUCCUGCAUUGGCUACCAACCAGCCUGUUCCUCUUUGUCUUCCUGCUGCCAUUUCUGCUCAGAGUAUUCUCGAGCUUCCCACAUCUGAAAGCGAAUCAAAUGUGCUUGGUGCCACUAGUGGCUCACUGAUUGCUGUUUCAAUUGAAUCUGAGCCUCACCAACAUCAUUCUUUGCACACAUGUCUAAAUGAUCAAAAUUCUUCUGAAAAUAAGAAUGGACAAGAGAACCCCAAAGUAUUGAAGAAAAUGACCCCUUGUGUUACAAACAUCCCCCACAGCUCCUCAGCAACUGCCACUAAAGUGCACCAUGGAAACAAGUCCUGCAUGAGCAUACAGGACUUCAGAGGUGAUUUUCAAAACACUUUUGUUGUUUCAGUUACCACCACAGUCUGCUCGCAGCCUCCCAGAACUGCAGGUGAUUCUUCUCCAAUGAGCAUUAGUAAGAGUGCAGACUUGACAAGUACAGCUACAGUGGUGGCAUCAUCUGCCCCUGGAGUAGGGAAGGCCACCAUUCCUAUAAGCACUCUUUCGGGAAACCCUUUGGACAAUGGUUGGACUCUUUCUUGUUCUUUGCCUUCUUCAAGUGUUAGUACUUCAGAUUUGAAAAACAUUAAUAGCCUUACACGAAUUUCUUCAGCUGGAAACACACAGACAACGUGGACUACUUUGCAACUGGCAGGAAACACUAUUCAGCCCUUAAGCCAGACACCAUCUUCUGCUGUGACUCCAGUAUUAAAUGAGUCUGGUACUAGCCCCACCACAAGCAACCACAGUAGACAUGUGGCUACAGACAUCAACUUGAAUAAUUCCUUUCCAGCAGAUGGGCAGCCAGUUGAGCAAGUAGUUGUAACAUUGCCUUCUUGUCCAUCUUUACCUAUGCAGCCACUAAUUGCCCAGCCACAAGUUAAAUCUCAGCCUCCCAAAAAUAUCCUUCCACUGAAUUCAGCAAUGCAAGUGAUUCAGAUGGCUCAGCCAGUUGGGUCAGCUGUUAAUGCAGCUCCAACUAAUCAAAAUGUUAUAAUUCUUCAGCCACCUAGCACCACCCCAUGCCCAACAGUGAUGAGGGCAGAAGUUCCCAACCAAACAGUAGGUCAACAGAUAGUAAUCAUACAGGCUGCUAAUCAGAAUCCUUUGCCACUCCUCCCUGCUCCACCUCCUGGUUCUGUUCGACUCCCCAUCAAUGGAGCCAAUACUGUAAUAGGGUCUAAUAAUUCAGUGCAAAAUGUUCCAACACCACAGACUUUUGGAGGAAAGCAUCUUGUCCACAUAUUACCAAGACCUUCAUCUUUAUCAGCGUCUAACUCAACACAAACUUUUUCUGUUACCAUGUCAAACCAACAGCCUCAAACCAUUUCUUUAAAUGGACAGCUCUUUGCUUUGCAGCCUGUGAUGUCUUCAUCAGGAACUACAAAUCAAACCCCUAUGCAAAUUAUUCAACCCACCACCAGCGAAGAUCCAAAUACCAAUGUUGCCCUGAAUACAUUUGGUGCUUUGGCCAGCCUCAAUCAAAGCAUAUCACAGAUGGCUGGGCAAAGCUGUGUACAAUUGUCUAUUAGCCAGCCUGCCAAUUCUCAAACUGCUGCAAGUAGUCAAACCACUACAGCUAACUGUGUUUCAUUAACAACAACUGCAGCACCUCCUGUGACAACAGAUAGUUCAGCCACACUAGCUAGUACUUAUAAUCUAGUGAGUACUUCCUCAAUGAACACUGUUGCUUGUUUGCCUAACAUGAAACCUAAAAGGUUGAAUAAGAAGCCAGGUGGCAGGAAACACUUAGCAGCAAACAAGUCAGCGUGUCCCCUGAAUUCAGUCAGAGAUGUGAGCAAGUUAGACUGCCCCAACACUGAAGGCUCAGCAGAGCCACCCUGUAAUGAUGGACUGCUAGAAAGCUUCCCUGCUGUGUUACCAUCUGUCUCUGUGUCCCAGGCAAAUAGUGUGAGUGUUUCUGCUUCACAUUCUUUGGGUGUUCUAAGCUCUGAAUCAUUAAUACCUGAGUCUGUAUCGAAAUCUAAGUCAGCAGAAAAGUCCAGCCCACCCUCCCAAGAAUCUGUAACAAGUGAACAUUUUGCAAUGGUCGCAGCAAAAUCCAAAGAUUCUACCCCUAAUCUACAACAAGAGACAUCUCAGGAUAAGCCACCAAGUAGUUUAGCAUUAUCAGAUGCUGCCAAACCCUGCGCUUCAGCCAAUGUAUUGAUUCCAUCUCCAAGUGAUCCUCACAUUUUGGUUUCUCAGGUUCCUGGUUUGUCAUCUACAACAAGCACUACAAGUACUGACUGUGUUUCUGAGGUAGAAAUCAUUGCUGAACCUUGCAGAGUUGAGCAAGAUUCAUCAGAUACAAUGCAAACCACAGGUCUCUUAAAAGGGCAAGGUUUAACUACAUUGCUAUCUGAUCUUGCUAAAAAAAAAAACCCUCAGAAAUCAUCUCUUUCUCAUCAGAUGGAUCAUCCUGACUUUUCUUCAGAAAAUCCUAAAAUAGUUGAUUCAAGUGUGAAUUUACAUCCUAAACAGGAGCUAUUACUGAUGAACAACGAUGAUAGAGAUCCUCCACAGCAUCAUUCCUGCCUCCCUGAUCAAGAGGUUAUUAAUGGUUCUUUGAUCACCGGUAGACAGGCCGACUCUCCCAUGUCAACCAGCUCUGGCAGUAGUCGUAGUUUCUCAGUUGCAUCCAUGCUUCCUGAAACAACAAGAGAAGAUGUGACCAGCAAUGCAACAACUAAUACAUGUGACAGCUGUACCUUUGUAGAGCAAACUGAUAUAGUAGCUCUUGCAGCAAGAGCUAUUUUUGACCAGGAGAACCUUGAGAAGGGAAGAGUUGGCCUCCAGGCUGAUAUAAGGGAAGUUGCUUCAAAGCCUUCUGAAGCAUCAUUGUUAGAGGGAGACCCACCCUUCAAAUCACAGAUACCUAAAGAGAGUGGCACAGGACAGGCAGAAGCAACACCAAAUGAAUUUAAUUCUCAGGGUUCAAUUGAAGCAACUAUGGAGAGGCCCCUUGAGAAACCAAGUUGUUCUCUAGGAAUUAAAACAUCAAAUGCAUCUUUACAGGAUUCAACUUCCCAGCCACCAAGCAUCACCAGUUUAAGUGUGAAUAAUCUUAUCCAUCAGAGCAGCAUCAGCCAUCCUCUGGCCAGCUGUGCGGGUUUAUCCCCAACUUCAGAGCAAACAACUGUGCCUGCAACGGUUAAUCUGACCGUUUCAUCUAGCUCCUAUGGCAGUCAACCUCCUGGACCAUCUCUGAUGACUGAAUAUUCCCAAGAACAGCUAAAUACUAUGACUAGUACCAUACCAAAUUCACAGAUUCAAGAGCCACUCUUAAAGCCAAGCCAUGAAAGCCGUAAGGAUUCUGCUAAGCGUGCUGUCCAGGAUGACCUUUUACUGUCUUCAGCUAAACGUCAAAAGCACUGUCAGCCAGCCCCCCUCAGGCUUGAAAGUAUGUCCCUGAUGAGCAGAACUCCAGACACCAUUUCUGACCAAACUCAAAUGAUGGUCAGUCAGAUCCCUCCUAAUUCUUCAAACUCAGUUGUGCCUGUUAGCAACCCAGCUCAUGGAGAUGGCCUUACACGAUUAUUUCCACCUAGUAACAACUUUGUGACUCCUGCAUUGAGGCAAACUGAAGUUCAGUGUGGUUCUCAGCCUUCAGUUGCUGAACAGCAGCAAACCCAGGCAAGUCAGCAUCUACAGGCCCUGCAGCAGCAUGUUCCAGCUCAAGGUGUAUCUCACCUUCAUAGUAACCAUCUCUACAUAAAGCAGCAGCAGCAGCAGCAGCAACAACAACAACAACAAGCAGGGCAGUUAAGAGAGAGGCAUCACUUAUAUCAAAUGCAGCAUCAUGUACCUCAUGCAGAGAGCUCUGUCCACUCUCAGCCCCAUAAUGUCCACCAACAGAGGACUCUGCAACAGGAAGUUCAGAUGCAGAAAAAGAGGAAUCUUGUUCAGGGCACCCAGACCUCUCAGCUUUCCUUACAACCAAAGCACCAUGGAACUGACCAAUCCCGAUCCAAGAGUGGCCAGCCACAUCCCCACCAUCAGCAGAUGCAGCAACAAAUGCAGCAACACUUUGGAAGCUCCCAGACAGAGAAGAGCUGUGAAAACCCUUCAACUAGUCGGAACCAUCAUAACCAUCCCCAGAACCAUCUCAGUCAAGAUAUUAUGCACCAACAGCAGGAUGUUGGAAGCAGACAGCAAGGUUCAGGGGUUUCAUCUGAACAUGUAUCUGGCCAUAAUCCAAUGCAGAGGCUUUUGACAUCAAGAGGCUUAGAGCAGCAAAUGGUGUCCCAACCAAGUAUUGUGACUAGAUCUUCAGACAUGACCUGUACUCCACACAGGCCAGAGAGAAAUAGAGUUUCAAGUUAUUCUGCUGAGGCACUCAUUGGAAAGACAUCUUCUAAUUCAGAGCAGAGAAUGGGGAUAUCAAUUCAGGGUUCCAGAGUUUCAGAUCAGCUUGAAAUGAGAAGCUAUCUUGAUGUUCCCAGAAAUAAGAGUUUGGCUAUUCAUAAUAUGCAGGGUCGUGUGGACCAUACUGUAGCCUCAGAUAUCCGCCUUUCUGAUUGUCAGACGUUUAAACCAAGUGGAGCUAGUCAACAGCCCCAGAGUAAUUUUGAAGUACAAUCUUCAAGAAACAAUGAAAUAGGUAACCCUGUAUCAUCAUUGCGGAGUAUGCAGUCCCAGGCUUUUCGAAUUAGUCAAAACACUGGCCCCCCACCAAUUGACCGUCAAAAGAGAUUACCUUACCCACCAGUUCAGAGCAUCCCAACAGGAAAUGGUAUUCCAUCAAGGGACAGUGAAAAUACUUGUCACCAAAGUUUCAUGCAGAGCUUACUUGCCCCUCACCUCAGUGAUCAGGUCAUUGGGAGCCAGAGGUCACUCUCAGAACAUCAGAGGAAUACACAGUGUGGUCCAUCCUCUGCAAUUGAAUAUAAUUGUCCCCCAACUCAUGAAAAUGUCCAUAUUAGAAGAGAGAGUGAGAGUCAGAAUAGGGAAAGUUGUGACAUGUCGUUAGGUGCAAUUAACACCAGGAACAGCACCUUGAAUAUUCCUUUUUCAAGUUCCUCUUCCUCAGGAGAUAUUCAAGGUCGAAACACAAGCCCCAAUGUUUCUGUACAGAAAUCCAAUCCCAUGAGGAUUACUGAGAGUCAUGCCACCAAGGGCCACAUGAACCCUCCAGUCACAACCAACAUGCAUGGGGUUGCAAGGCCAGCGUUGCCACAUCCAUCUGUGUCUCAUGGAAAUGGCGAUCAAGGCCCUGCUGUACGUCAAGCUAAUUCUUCAGUUCCCCAGAGAUCAAGGCAUCCCCUGCAAGACAGCAGUGGUUCCAAAAUUCGUCAGCCUGAAAGGAAUCGUUCUGGAAACCAAAGGCAAAGUACUGUCUUUGAUCCAAGUCUUCCCCAUCUUCCUCUCUCUACUGGUGGCAGUAUGAUUCUUGGACGUCAACAACCUGCCACAGAGAAGAGAGGAAGUAUUGUUCGUUUCAUGCCUGAUAGCCCACAAGUACCUAAUGAUAAUUCAGGUCCUGACCAGCAUACACUAUCACAAAAUUUUGGUUUUUCUUUUAUUCCUGAGGGUGGCAUGAAUCCACCAAUAAAUGCUAAUGCUUCUUUCAUUCCACAGGUUACUCAGCCUAGUGCCACUCGAACUCCAGCCCUCAUCCCGGUAGAUCCGCAAAAUACUCUGCCCUCCUUCUAUCCUCCAUACUCUCCUGCUCAUCCUACACUGUCCAAUGAUAUUUCAAUCCCCUAUUUUCCUAAUCAGAUGUUCUCAAAUCCUAGCACAGAGAAGGUAAACAGUGGAAGUUUAAAUAACCGAUUUGGAUCAAUUUUAUCUCCUCCCAGACCUGUUGGGUUUGCUCAGCCAAGUUUUCCUCUUCUCCCAGAUAUGCCACCAAUGCACAUGACCAACUCUCACUUAUCCAAUUUUAAUAUGACAUCUUUGUUUCCAGAAAUAGCUACAGCGCUUCCUGAUGGCUCAGCAAUGUCACCUUUGCUUACAAUAGCAAAUUCCUCUGCCUCUGACUCUUCCAAGCAGUCCUCAAACAGACCUGCCCAUAACAUAAGCCAUAUUCUAGGUCAUGAUUGCAGUUCAGCUGUUUAAAUGCUGAUAAACGAAAUGUAAAGGUAAUGAGUGAGAUUACAAAUGUAUUUGUGCGUGCAUGCGCACAGACAUGUACAUGAAGAGAAGGAUUGUGUGUGUGUGUCUGUAUGAUCAGUUUUCAGUUAUCUUCUGAAUGUAGGGAAGCCAUGUCAGAUGCAGAUACUGGGUUGUCAGAAAACAAGUUAUCUUUCGUUUUCAACUGCAUGGUGUACUUUUUUAUUUUCCAAGUAGAUUUACAUUUCCAAGUUGAUAUUUCCUAAAUACUAAUUAGCUGGAAAUUGGGGGAGAUCAUCUUGUCAUGUACUGGGUAGUAGGAGGGAGCCUAGACUUUAAACUUGAUUGUUGAUAACUUAUGGAAUAUGUAGGUAAGUUGCUACUGAAAAAUAUAGGCAGCUUGAUAAAACACAGUGGCUAAGUGCUGGCUAAUGUCAGCAUCUAGAACAGCUUCUUACCUAUGACAGAUGUUGAACUGAUGUUGAGUUUAAUGUCCGUAGUUAAAGUCAAGCAGUUAGCAAAUAAAUAAAAGCAAUCAGCCUUUAUUCUCAAAGUUUGGUUUAGAUACAGGCUUCUUUCUAAAUUAUAACAAUCCAUAAAUUAUCUGAAUUUUAUGUCUUGUUCUUCAAAUUAGGGAGCUGUGUUAUCCUUUAAUGUGCCAAGAUUAUUUAAAGCAAAGGUCUUCCUUAGACAAUUAUUUAGCCUUAAAUAUAGAAAGCUAAAAAGUUAAGUACAUACAUAUUCUCCAUUUUGUGCUUGCAUUUUGCAUCAGGUCAUAAGGGUAAAAGCAGUUAGUUGUAUUGUGGAGUUUUGCAUGGGUGCAGUUAACAAUGGAUGUUUCAUCAACUGAGUUUAAUUUAGUAUUCUCUCUUCAUUCUAUUUAUUUGGUCUUGAAAUAAAUUCUUUUGCAUUCAUUUAAAUAUUAGGAUUGAUCAGGAAAUAGUGUUUGUAAUCUACACGUUUAUUUGAGCCUUACUUUAAAAAUAUUUCUGAACAGAGAUUUAAGCUCUGUCAGUAUUUUCAUUUACUGAUAGUAUUUAUAUUUUAAAUAUGGCAUUGUAUAUUUCAUUAUUAUCCUUCAUAACAGAAUUAUAAUGAGAAUAUGAAUUUGUUAUUUUUCUUGUUGGUAGAUGUGAAAUGGUGCUUCAAAAAAUAUAUAGUCUUUCUGUAUGUCUCUGUGUGUGUAAGUAUGUGUGUGUGUGUGUACACAUAUUUUAAAGUAUGAAUUGGUCCUUUAAAAACAGGCCUGCCAUCUGAAAAUGGGAAAUUGAGACCUGAGACCUGCUAAAGCAUAGAAGAACUUGAUAUAGGUAGGGUUUUUUUUUUUUUUUUUUUUUUUAAUAGAUGGAGUCUGGCUCUGUUGCCCAGGCUGGAGUGCAGUGGCGCGAUCUCAGCUCACUGCAAGCUCCACCUCCCGGGUUCAAGUGAUUCUCCUGCCCCAGCCUCCUGUGUAGCUGGGACUACAGGCACAUGCCACCACACCUGGCUAAUUUUUGGUACUUUUAGUAGAGACGGGGUUUCACCGUGUUAGCCAGGAUGGUCUUGAUCUCCUGAUCUCGUGAUCCACCCGCCUCGGCCUCCCAAAGUGCCAGGAUUACAGGCAUGAGCCACCGUGCUUGGCCUAGGUACAGGUUUUUAAAAGCCCCACAGAAGUUUAUAAUACAUUUAAAAACCCAUAUUAAAAUUUGAAAACUUAAAAAAAAA
rnacentral:sRNA from 1 species